CCUACGGGUGGCAGCAGUGGGGAAUAUUGGGCAAUGGGCGAAAGCCUGACCCAGCCACGCCGCGUGAGUGAUGAAGGCCUUCGGGUCGUAAAGCUCUGUGGGGAGGGACGAACAAGCCUUGGGCUAAUCACCAGGGCCCUGACGGUACCUCCUUAGCAAGCACCGGCUAACCCUGUGCCAGCAGCCGCGGUAAUACAGGGGGUGCAAACGUUGCUCGGAAUCAUUGGGCGUAAAGCGCACGUAGGCGGUCUGUUAUGUCGGAUGUGAAAGCCCUUGGCUCAACUGAGGAAGUGCAUCCGAAACUGGCAGGCUAGAGUACUAAAGAGGGUCGCGGAAUUCCCGGUGUAGAGGUGAAAUUCGUAGAUAUCGGGAGGAACACCGGUGGCGAAGGCGGCGACCUGGGUAGAUACUGACGCUGAGGUGCGAAAGCGUGGGGAGCA
rnacentral:rRNA from 1 species